CGGGGAUGAGACCAGGACAGUUCCUCGCAGGGACUUGUGCGGAUACCAGCCGGUGCCAGGCUCCUGUAUGAGAGACUUCAAGGAGGUCUGUCGGCCGGUGAGAUGUGUUGCUGCCUCGCUUUCCUGUUCACCCCUCUGCCGACCCCGGCCAUUUUCACUCUCAUUGCCAUCGGACUGACCGCUUUCUUCUAUGUUCUCACCAAGCCCAAGCCGGUGCAUCCCCCUAUAGAUCUGAACCGGCAGUCCACCGGGACACAGGGCGGAGCUCGGCGAUCCAUGUUACUGAAGGAUGACACCCUCAUGUCGUACUACUAUGAAGACGCCAAAACCUUGUAUGAAGUCUUCAUGAGGGGACUUCGAGUGUCGGGUAA